rnacentral:rRNA from 1 species
UGAGGAAUAUUGGUCAAUGGAGGAAACUCUGAACCAGCCAAGUCGCGUGAAGGAUGACGGUCCUAUGGAUUGUAAACUUCUUUAGUAGGCGAGUAAGGAUAGGUACGUGUACCUAUUAGAAAGUAGCCUAAGAAUAAGUAUUGGCUAACUCCGUGCCAGCAGCCGCGGUAAUACGGAGGAUACGAGCGUUAUCCGGAUUUAUUGAGUUUAAAGGGUGCGUAGGUGGCUGAUUAAGUCAGUGGUGAAAAGCUAUGGCUCAACCAUAGUCUUGCCGUUGAUACUGGUUAGCUUGAGUGUAGAUGAUGUAGGCGGAACGUGUAGUGUAGCGGUGAAAUGCAUAGAUAUUACGCAGAACUCCGAUUGCGAAGGCAGCUUACAAAACUACUACUGACACUGAGGCACGAAAGCGUGGGUAUCAAACAGG